rnacentral:rRNA from 1 species
UGGGGAAUUUUGGACAAUGGGGGAAACCCUGAUCCAGCCAUCCCGCGUGUGCGAUGAAGGCCUUCGGGUUGUAAAGCACUUUUGGCAGGAAAGAAACGUCAUGGGUUAAUACCCCGUGAAACUGACGGUACCUGCAGAAUAAGCACCGGCUAACUACGUGCCAGCAGCCGCGGUAAUACGUAGGGUGCAAGCGGUAAUCGGAAUUACUGGGCGUAAAGCGUGCGCAGGCGGUUCGGAAAGAAAGAUGUGAAAUCCCAGAGCUCAACUUUGGAACUGCAUUUUUAACUACCGGGCUAGAGUGUGUCAGAGGGAGGUGGAAUUCCGCGUGUAGCAGUGAAAUGCGUAGAUAUGCGGAGGAACACCGAUGGCGAAGGCAGCCUCCUGGGAUAACACUGACGCUCAUGCACGAAAGCGUGGGGAGCAAACAGG